ensembl:lncRNA
CGCUCUUCUUCGAUGGUUUGCGGCAGCGCUAUAAAUGCUGGCGCGCUACUGUGCGCGCUCUCUCAGUUCUGCGAUGGUUCAGCGGGAGUGCGCUAGAGCUUACAAAAAUGAGAAAGUCAGGCGGUUACAAGAAGGUCACACAAGACCCCAAAAUGCCUCGAUCCCAACGGCCAGUACUGCUGAGGAUGAGGUAAAUAAGAUUGAGAAUUUGAAAGGUCCAUCGAGAUCAUCCUAUUGUGGGAAACAUGUGUGAAGAUCUUCAGAAAUCACGUUUUCUGUUCCAGCUUUUUUUUAAAUGUUAAAAGGGAUCAGUGCUCACUGUUAACAUUAUACAUAAAUGUAUUGUACAUGGUUACAAAUAUAAAAUCUUCCUUUAGUGGAGAUUCCUAGAACAGGGUUCUUCUUUUGUUCCUAGAGAGCCACUUUCCUAAAAUUAAUUUUUAUCAGAUUGGCGCUUAGUCAUCAUGGGAAUGACAUGCAGAUUGACAUAAAAAUAUCAAGGAUUUUUGCAUAAGGCUGCAACAAAAUGUGGAAAAUUAAGAGGUUUUGAAUGCACUGUUUAGGAUGUGUCCAUUCCUGCUUCUGGAGUGCCACUUUCAGCAGUUUAGCCCUAGCCCCAGUUAAACAUGCCUGAAUAAAGGUGUUCUGGAUCACUGGUCUUUCAAGCGUCUUUGGACCGCUCUUCUCUAGCAUUGUUUAAACAUGAGGCUGCUAUACGAAGACAAUGAAUGAGAUGUCUGAAAUGGUACAAUGUUUGAGUUGUCAGUUCUGUUAUUGUUUUUAAACACUGGACAAUAAAAAUGUAUGGAAGUGUUAAUUUGUCUGAAUACUUGAAACAAAGUUUUAAAACUUGCCCUGAGGUCUAGGUUUUUAAAUGAACCCACUAAAAAGCACUACCUGGGCCUCUCCUGUAUCAUCUUGUCUGCCAGGCCUCAGGUUUGAGGAAGAAUGAAGUGAAUACUGAGAGGAUGUCUCCCUCUACUGGAUUUACAACGUAACAAAAGGACAGUGGGAGAGGAUGGUUAUGCAUUUGUUCAUAUUUGAUCUGCUUUAGUCACUGUUUUGUGUAAUAUGGUUUUCACCUAAUGAUUGUCUCUGGACAAUGAGUUCUUAGCUGACUGUAUGUACACAAUAUGCCUGGUGUUUGAUCAGCUGUGCUGUAACUUGUAUUUAACCCUAUAAACUCUAAAAGUAGAUCAGUCCAAAAAUUAAAGUUUUAUUUUCUUUAUUAUUAUUAAACGUAGUGAAGCCUCUCCUUUCACGUCCAUUAAAAAAGGCUGCU